rnacentral:tRNA from 1 species
UUGUCUAUAGUCUAAUGGUCAAGACCGGAGACUGUGAAUCUCCCUAUACGAGUUCGAUUCUCGUUAGACAACCCA